rnacentral:rRNA from 1 species
UACGUAGGGGGCAAGCGUUGUCCGGAUUUAUUGGGCGUAAAGAGCUCGUAGGCGGUUUGUCGCGUCUGCUGUGAAAUCCCGAGGCUCAACCUCGGGCCUGCAGUGGGUACGGGCAGACUGGAGUGCGGUAGGGGAGAAUGGAAUUCCUGGUGUAGCGGUGGAAUGCGCAGAUAUCAGGAGGAACACCGAUGGCGAAGGCAGUUCUCUGGGCUGUAACUGACGCUGAGGAGCGAAAGCGUGGGGAGCGAACAGG